GAUGAACGCUGGCGGCGUGCUUAACACAUGCAAGUCGAACGAAGCACUUUAUUUGAUUUCCUUCGGGACUGAUUAUUUUGUGACUGAGUGGCGGACGGGUGAGUAACGCGUGGGUAACCUGCCUUGUACAGGGGGAUAACAGUUGGAAACGGCUGCUAAUACCGCAUAAGCGCACAGCAUCGCAUGAUGCAGUGUGAAAAACUCCGGUGGUAUAAGAUGGACCCGCGUUGGAUUAGCUAGUUGGUGAGGUAACGGCCCACCAAGGCGACGAUCCAUAGCCGACCUGAGAGGGUGACCGGCCACAUUGGGACUGAGACACGGCCCAAACUCCUACGGGAGGCAGCAGUGGGGAAUAUUGCACAAUGGGCGAAAGCCUGAUGCAGCGACGCCGCGUGAGCGAAGAAGUAUUUCGGUAUGUAAAGCUCUAUCAGCAGGGAAGUUAAUGACGGUACCUGACUAAGAAGCACCGGCUAAAUACGUG
rnacentral:rRNA from 1 species